UUACGCCCAUAUCACGUUGAAACGCCAGUUCCCGUAAGAUCAUCAUAGUUAAGCAACGUUGAGUCUGGUCAGUAUUUAAAUAGGCGAAUGCUUGGGAAUAACAAGUGCUGUAGGC